GGAUUGCCCUAGUAACGGCGAGUGAAGCGGCAACAGCUCAAAUUUGAAAUCUGGCUUCGGCCCGAGUUGUAAUUUGUAGAGGAAACUUUUGGUGAGGCACCUUCUGAGUCCCUUGGAACAGGGCGCCAUAGAGGGUGAGAGCCCCGUAUAGUCGGAUGCCGAUCCAAUGUAAAGUUCCUUCGACGAGUCGAGUAGUUUGGGAAUGCUGCUCAAAAUGGGAGGUAAAUUUCUUCUAAAGCUAAAUAUAGGCCAGAGACCGAUAGCGCACAAGUAGAGUGAUCGAAAGAUGAAAAGCACUUUGAAAAGAGGGUUAAAUAGCACGUGAAAUUGUUGAAAGGGAAGCGUUUGUGACCAGACUUGCGCCGUUCCGAUCAUCCGGUGUUCUCACCGGUGCACUCGGGGCGGCUCAGGCCAGCAUCGGUUUUGGUGGGGGGAUAAAGGUUCAGGGAACGUAGCUCCUCCGGGAGUGUUAUAGCCCUGGGCGUAAUGCCCUCGCUGGGACCGAGGUUCGCGCAUCUGCAAGGAUGCUGGCGUAAUGGUCAUCAACGACCCGUCUUGAAACACGGACCAAGGAGUCAAGGUUUUGCGCGAGUGUUUGGGUGUAAAACCCGCACGCGUAAUGAAAGUGAACGUAGGUGAGAGCUUCGGCGCAUCAUCGACCGAUCCUGAUGUAUUCGGAUGGAUUUGAGUAAGAGCGUUAAGCCUUGGACCCGAAAGAUGGUGAACUAUGCUUGGAUAGGGUGAAGCCAGAGGAAACUCUGGUGGAGGCUCGCAGCGGUUCUGACGUGCAAAUCGAUCGUCAAAUCUGAGCAUGGGGGCGAAAGACUAAUCGA
rnacentral:rRNA from 1 species